GGGGAUUUAGCUCAGUGGUAGAGCGCUUGCCUAGCAAGCACAAGGCCCUGGGUUCGGUCCCUAGCUCCG
rfam:Rattus norvegicus chromosome 1, whole genome shotgun sequence.